AUGAGAUUUGAUGGACAAUCACGUCAAUUGAAUUUUCUCAUCGACGAAAAUGAGAGCAUCGGUGCAGAUGGAGCUAAUGCACAGGGACCAAACGCUGUCAUCUCGAUGAUAGACUACGUGCUCAACACCCAUGGAUGCGAAGAUCUCUCGUGCACAAUACACGCCGACAAUUGUCCGGGUCAAAACAAAAAUCAGUUUGUGAUUGGGUACUUCGCAUGGCGAGUCCUGACACGGCGCCACACUUCAAUCGAAUAUAUGUACAGACGCUCGGACGGUGACACCAUUUAGCAGCUAGAGGAUAUUGUCAACAAGUCGUCUACUGCAAAUGAGGCUGUCCGAUAUCCGACCUGGCGCUUGCGUGACUGGAAUACUUUUUUGUCUACAUCUUUUAAAGCAAUACCCGGGAUAAGGAAGUACCAGUACUUCAGGUUCGACUCAUCGAGGGCCGGCACGGUUUUCGCGAAGAAAGCAACGGACCUACCAGAUGAAGAGUUCUUCAUCAUGAAACACAGGGAACUCUCCUCAGCAGAACCAUGCUUAAUUAAACCGGCAGGGCUAUCAGAGAAUCGCGUGAAAUAUCUUUACAGAACUGUCCGACCAUUUGUGCGACCAUGUUAUCAGGACAUUACCUGUCCAACACCCACAAACUGAUUGCAUGUGAUUACAUCAUGUAUUCAAACAUCAACCUAAACAGUUAUUUUAAUCCAUGCGCGUGUAAAUGAAGGGUUUUCGAACAAGUUAUUGUAAUAUUUGAAUAAGUGUUUGAUAUUGCGAACUAUUUACAUUCGGUUAACGUAAUGAAUAUGUCAUUCCGAUUGAAAAUAUGAUAUACUAGUAUAUAUAUAUUUCGAUAAAAAAAAUCAUAAUGUCAAGGACCCAUUUACUUCCAACUUAGUAAACAAAGCAGGAUAUAAGUUACCUGUUUUUUUUUCAAAUUGUAGUGAAAACUUCAUUGUAACAUCUACAUGAAAACACAUUUAUUGGGAAAAAGCAUACCAGGUUGGAAAUGAAUGAACAGAAGUUUAUCUAACUUGGCUCAAAGACACCAUGGCGCGCGCUUCUGGUGGUAUCAGCGUCGCAGGAAAAUAUUAUGGCUGCCCAGCUCUUACCAUAUCCUUUAAUUAAGGAACUUAAAUGAACAAUUUAUGCGCCAAUGACCUUCAGCUAUUGGACACCUUCUAAUUUUGAAUACAUGAUAUUAUUGCAGAAUUGUUUAAUUCAUUUAGUAUUUCUUCUCCCAUCGCUCUGUGUUCACAGGUGAAGAUUCAGAAGAUCUUUUUUUUUGAAAAUCCGAAAUGGUUUGACAAAAUGCUGGCUAGACUAAGCUUCCUGUAAUCUGUUUCAUGUACAAUUGUCUCAUAGUAUCGGCCCUUCAAAUUGGUUGCUAAGAUUUGUAACUUUGCGCAUGUACUUGUUCUUAACAAAGUAACUUAAUGGAAAAUGAAAUUCUUGUUCAUUUUGUUCUUUAAAUAUGUGUACAUUAUAUUCAAAACUUAGCGGAAUAUAAAAUAUUUGAUAAAGCUACUGUUAAUCCAUAAACAAACUAACAUAAUUGUGUGUUACGUAAUUAAACCUCAUAGCAUCACCCUCGAAUAAACAUGACCUACUUUCCAACGAACACCGAAAAUCAUGAGAAUAAUCGUCGUUAUAGUCAUAGAUAGCAAUGAAAUAAAUAACAAGUUCUAAAAAUUGAAUAAAUAACUUUCCGGCACCUCUUGAAGGUUUUUCGUUCAAGGCACGAUACUAUAAGGAGGACCGAUACUAUGAGAGUAUGGGAUACUUAACACAGUUCCUUGUCAACAUAAAUCGUAAACCACAAAGUGCAGAAUAUAUUCGCGGUUAUAGACAGUGUUCCUGGCUGAAAUCGAUUUCUUUUAAAUCAUUAAUGUAUUUGUUUGCAACAAACAAGUUUUGAAACUGACGAUCGGUAAUUUCUUCUUAUGUUUUCCGCAAAUAUUGUACCACGAGAAUAUAUUAUACUAAUGCUCAAAUGAUUUAAAAUAAAUAUUUCUUUGAAUUUGGUGAGGAACACUGUUUAUAAUAGCUAAAAAUACACCUUAACUUAAGUGCAUAAAAUAAAAAAAAUAUAUUUCAGUUUAUACUUCAAUAUUAUUAUAUAGUCUCAUUAAUUCCUAUAGCUUGGCCACAAACUUAUUUUGGA